rnacentral:rRNA from 1 species
GACGAACGCUGGCGGCGUGCCUAACACAUGCAAGUCGAACGGUCUUUUCUAUGGAAGCUUGCUGAAGUAUCUGUUAGUAGCGGACGGGUGAGUAAUGCAUGAGAAGCUGCCAUUGGGAGGGGGACAACAGUUGGAAACGGCUGCUAAUACCCCAUAUGCCGGAAGGUGAAACGGAGUGAUCCGCCCGAUGAGGUGCUCAUGUCCUAUCAG